GACGAACGCUGGCGGCGUGCUUAACACAUGCAAGUCGAACGGAAAGGCCCUGCUUUUGUGGGGUGCUCGAGUGGCGAACGGGUGAGUAACACGUGAGUAACCUGCCCUUGACUUUGGGAUAACUUCAGGAAACUGGGGCUAAUACCGGAUAGGAGCUCCUGCUGCAUGGUGGGGGUUGGAAAGUUUCGGCGGUUGGGGAUGGACUCGCGGCUUAUCAGCUUGUUGGUGGGGUAGUGGCUUACCAAGGAUUUGACGGGUAGCCGGCCUGAGAGGGUGACCGGCGACAUUGGGACUGAGAUACGGCCCAGACUCCUACGGGAGGCAGCAGUGGGGAAUAUUGCACAAUGGGAGGAAGCCUGAUGAAGCAACGCCGCGUGCGGGAUGACGGCCUUCGGGUUGUAAACCGCUUUCGCCUGUGACGAAGCGUGAGUGACGGUAAUGGGUAAAGAAGCACCGGCUAACUACGUG
rnacentral:rRNA from 1 species